UUCGGGGUCGUCUAAUCGGCAGGACGGCUGGCUCUGAACCAGCAAAUGGAGGUUCAAAUCCUUCCCCCGAAGCCA
rnacentral:tRNA from 1 species